UGGGGAAUCUUGGACAAUGGGCGCAAGCCUGAUCCAGCCAUGCCGCGUGGAUGAUGAAGGCCUUAGGGUUGUAAAAUCCUUUCGUUGGGGACGAUAAUGACGGUACCCAAAGAAGAAGCUCCGGCUAACUUCGUGCCAGCAGCCGCGGUAAUACGAAGGGGGCUAGCGUUGUUCGGAUUUACUGGGCGUAAAGCGCGUGUAGGCGGGUCGUUAAGUUGGGGGUGAAAUCCCGAGGCUCAACCUCGGAACUGCCUUCAAAACUGGCGACCUGGACCUAAGUAGAGGCAAGUGGAAUUGCGAGUGUAGAGGUGAAAUUCGUAGAUAUUCGCAGGAACACCAGUGGCGAAGGCGACUUGCUGGACUUAUGGUGACGCUGAGACGCGAAAGCGUGGGGAGCAAACAGGAUUAGAUACCCUUGUAGUCCCUGAGCGGGCUGGCAAGGCGCAU
rnacentral:rRNA from 1 species